rnacentral:rRNA from 1 species
AUUGAACGCUGGCGGCAGGCCUAACACAUGCAAGUCGAACGGAGUGGCGGACGGGUGAGUAAUGUCUGGGAAACUGCCUGAUGGAGGGGGAUAACUACUGGAAACGGUAGCUAAUACCGCAUUCUAUCAGAUGAGCCUAGGUCGGAUUAGCUAGUUGGUGGGGUAAAGGCCUACCAAGGCGACGAUCCGUAACUGGUCUGAGAGGAUGAUCAGUCACACUGGAACUGGGACAGGGUCCGGACUCCUACGGGAGGCAGCAGUGGGGAAUAUUGGACAAUGGGGGAAAGCCUGCUCCAGCCAUGCCGCGUGUGUGAAGAAGGUCUUCGGAUGGUAAAGCACUUUAAGUUGGGAGGCGUUACCAACAGAAUAAGCACCGGCUAACUUCGUGCCAGCCGCCGCGGUAAUUC